AACGAACGCUGGCGGCAUGCCUAACACAUGCAAGUCGAACGAAGCCUUCGGGCUUAGUGGCGCACGGGUGCGUAACGCGUGGGAAUCUGCCCUUGGGUUCGGAAUAACAGUUAGAAAUGACUGCUAAUACCGGAUGAUGUCUUCGGACCAAAGAUUUAUCGCCCAAGGGUGAGCCGGCGUAGGAAUAGGUAGUUGGUGGGGUAAUGGCCCACCAAGCCGACGAUCCUUAGCUGGUCCGAGAGGAUGAUCAGCCACACUGGGACUGAGACACGGCCCAGACUCCUACGGGAGGCAGCAGUGGGGAAUAUUGGACAAUGGGCGAAAGCCUGAUCCAGCAAUGCCGCGUGAGUGAUGAAGGCCUUAGGGUUGUAAAGCUCUUUUACCAGGGAUGAUAAUGACAGUACCUGGAGAAUAAGCUCCCGCUAACUCCGUGCCAGCCGCCGCUAGUAAGAC
rnacentral:rRNA from 1 species